GACGAACGCUGGCGGCGUGCUUAACACAUGCAAGUCGAGCGGUAAGGCCCUUUCGGGGGUACACGAGCGGCGAACGGGUGAGUAACACGUGGGUGACCCGCCCUUAGCUCUGGGAUAAGCCUGGGAAACUGGGUCUAAUACCGGAUAUGACUCCAUGACGCAUGUUGUGGGGUGGAAAGCCUUGUGCGGCUAGGGAUGGGCCCGCGGCCUAUCAGCUUGUUGGUGGGGUGAUGGCCUACCAAGGCGACGACGGGUAGCCGGCCUGAGAGGGCGACCGGCCACACUGGGACUGAGACACGGCCCAGACUCCUACGGGAGGCAGCAGUGGGGAAUCUUGCGCAAUGGGCGAAAGCCUGACGCAGCGACGCCGCGUGAGGGAUGACGGCCUCGGUUGUAAC
rnacentral:rRNA from 1 species